AACCCUAGAUCUAAGAGGGUAUCGAGGGGUCAAAAUAUCUCUUCGAAUUUUAAUUGAUGCAAAUCGCAUUACUUGCGAUGCCCAAAGUGAUUAUUUCGAAGAAGUCACGAAUUGUGCAAAAAUAUGAGACUCAAAGAAAAAAUACGAAAAUAAAAGUAUGUACAAAUAUACAUGACCUAAAGGGAUGCAUCAUAACGGGUGCGGGGGACUAAUGUUCGUGACUCAAUUUUCCCUUUAAUAGAGGGAAUACGAGCGUGCUAAGGCCAAAGGGCCAAACUCGUCCAUAUCCCAUACUCAAGGGGUUAUUCCCUAAUCUAAUCAAGCAAAUGCACUACCCUAAUCCUAAUUCUAAAAUGAAAUGCAAGUCUAAUGUUAUGUAUCAUACAAAGGGAUAGGGAAUAUACAUAUAAGGGGAUCAUGUAAGAAAAAUGAUAAAAGACCCUAGAAAAUGAAAAAAUAUGCACGAGAUGAGGUGAAUUUAUCGCACAAUCAUGAUCUAACGCUCAAAGGGCUCCUAAGGGUCUAGCAUUGGACUAGCCCAUAUCUAUAAAUUUUCACAAGCGUUGGACUUGUGAGAAAUCGGAAAAUAAAAGGUCUCAACUAGCGUUGGACUAGUGAAAAAUCAGGAACAGAGCCACUACUAGCGUUGGACUAGUGUGGUGACGUCAUACAUCAAUUAUUACUAACU
rnacentral:lncRNA from 1 species